rnacentral:rRNA from 1 species
CAGUCGCCACGGUAAUACGUAGGUGGCAAGCGUUGUCCGGAAUUAUUGGGCGUAAAAGGCUCGCAGGCGGUUUCUUAAGUCUGAUGUGAAAGCCCCCGGCUCAACCGGGGAGGGUCAUUGGAAACUGGGAAACUUGAGUGCAGAAGAGGAGAGUGGAAUUCCACGUGUAGCGGUGAAAUGCGUAGAGAUGUGGAGGAACACCAGUGGCGAAGGCGACUCUCUGGUCUGUAACUGACGCUGAGGAGCGAAAGCGUGGGGAGCGAACAGGAUUAGAGACCCCCGUAGUCCCUGUCUCUUAUAA